GAAGGAAUGCCAAGUAACCCUUGUAGUGUGCAGACAAGAUAGAUGAGGAUUAAGUCCCUACAGUGAGCCCUGGGAACAGCAAAUAUGCAGUAACCUGAAAAUUCUAUCCACAUCUUUUGCCUUUAAUUAACACUUACAGGGGCUUUCCAACGAGGCUCGAGAAGCAGGGUGCUGGGGGACAGGAAAAGACCACCCUGCAGGCAUGCAGUAAAUUUCCAGCAACAGAGGAAGAUCAGGAUACAACAGCAAAAAUACUUUUGUAGGAAACAAAAUUGCUUCAGAGAUAACACAACUGUCCCUGAAGCCAGAAAAAUGAGGAGAGCUGUGGAUACACAUGGGUAACUGACUGUGAGGAAAAUUGGAAUUGUUCAAAUCCUGAUGUGGCUACCAGCAUCACCAUACAACUUGAGAGCAUCAGAAAGAAAGGAAUGCUAACAGACUUUGAGACACUUCAGAGCUAGUGUUAGAGUCCUGUAGAGAAUACUGUAAAUAAUGCAGAAGGCCAUUAUGAUAUUCUUUGUGUGCAAUUACUUUGUUUUGAAAUAAAGAGUAAUGUAAAUUUCAGUCUGUACUUAAGAUAGCAACAAAAAGAGCAGUAUACUAUUCCUGUGUAAAAACUAACUGUAAAGGAAGCAGUAGGGUUUCACUAAGGCAACAAGAAAAUUUCAGGAGUAGGAUGCAUAUAAAGCUGCUCAGAAUUGCAGGAAGACUAAGCUGUGUUUCAGCUUAGAAAUCUUUCCCUACUAGCUGAGAUACUUAGAAUGUUAUACUCCUUUGUGUACCUCUUUGAACGUUGCUCUCUUUUUAAGCAGUAAGGUUCUUAAACCCUGUUAAGGCUCCCUUAAGUUCUGACAUCAAUGAGAAUUAGGUACCUUCAACUAAAGAAGUGCUAGACAACGCAAGAAUUGAUGUGCUGGGAAAAUAAGGCCAUGAGCCAUGGUAAUGAAAGGAUCUCUAGGAGUCCCCAGCUAACAAUAUUAUAGCAGGUUUAUGAAAGGAAACAUCUAGUGACUUAAUGGGUAACAUUGAUAGGAUUAAAAGGGUGCAGUUGAUUAGCAUUAUCUGCUUAAGAACAAAAUCACAUUAAAAGUAGGAGGUCAUAGGAUUUAAGGAUUAAGAAUAUUCAAAUUUACUAUUUUUUUUUUUUAAACUUGUCUAGCCUCUAGGUGGUCUCUUUAGCCACAAUAUCAGUUAUUUGGUCUGGGAAAUAACAGUGGAAUGUGAUUGGCAGAUAAAUAGUUUGAGUUAUGUGCAGAGACAUUUGUUCUACUUGUAAAACCACUUAAAAAUCUUUGCAUUGGAAAGAUUUGUUAUUUUUAAAAGUCCUUAAUAGCUAGCCAAGGAAAGCCAAGACGGUUAAUCUUUUUCUCAACACCAAUCCCAAUGUGUUUUCAGAGACAGAUGAGAUGAGAGACAAGAAUUUGCUGUUAACAGACAGCAUUAGAAUUGCUAGAUAAUGCCAUAGUACUCACCUGAAAUGGGUUAUUGUUUAAGUAGUAAUAGAAGAACUCAGUGAUAAUCUCAAGAUGUUUUCCAUACAACUAACAUGGCCAUGGUAUCUGCUGGUCUGUGUAGCCCUGGCACAAGGAGAGAGCUGGAGAUGGGAACAGAUUAACUGUGGCCUCCCCAACAAUGUUUAGGUCUCACCUUCUGAGAACAUACAAGCUACUACUGUCUUGAUACUCUCUCUAAUCCAACAUUAUGGCAUGGCUAUAUUGGUCACGCUGUGUUAGCAAAUCUCACAAGUGAGGAACUGUUAUUUUUCUGAUGCUUUUAGCUGCUGAAAUGGGAAAUAGCCCUUUCUAAGGAAUGCGAUGUAAUGUUGUGGACAAGAUAUCUGAUCAGCUAAUGUCUGCUCCUGCCAGACAGAUGACAAAUAUUGUUAAAUCAGCCACUGUCAGGUGCAAUUCCCUUCUUAGCAGCUUCACGUGAUCCAUUAGCAAGUCAAUGUACCAGAGCUUGAAUUUUUUUUUUUUAUUGUUGCUGCCUUGUUCUCCUCUAAUACAGGAAAAAUACUGCUCAUGAUAGGCUUCUUGAUGCUCCUUUCAGUUGCUUCCCCCCCCCAGUACCUGAGCCUUUUGCACAGAAAAACAGCACUGAUAUAAAAGAGUGAAAAAUUGAUUCUUUUUAGAACACAAAUCCAACUAUUUCCUCAGCAACACACAUUACUUAUGGUAAUAUGGUUGGUACCUUUUUCAUCCCCAAAGUUGAAAAUCUUUGAAUGUUAUUCCAAAACCAACUGGCAAUGGCAAGAUCCUUGCUCAUGUUUGCAUUCACUUCAUCCCAUGCUAUGUUUAAAUAGAUGACAAAACAUGCUGAGAACAUUGUGGUAAACACACCAAAUCUUCAAUAUUUGUGGGUGAGUGAAUUUGAAAGCGUGUUUUAGUAGCCUGCUAAUUCCUGUUUGAAACAUCCUCUGCCUGUAUAGUUGAUGCUGUUUUUUCCUCUUGCUUUUUCAUAAAAAAAUCAGCAUGAAACCAAAUAUAAUAGAAUACACUCAUAAAUAAACCUGUUAACUAUCUCAAAUAGUGCAAUAAAAAUACA